rnacentral:misc_RNA from 1 species
GAUGAAGAACGCAGCGAAAUGCGAUACGUAAUGUGAAUUGCAGAAUUCAGUGAAUCAUCGAGUCUUUGAACGCACAUUGCGCCCCCUGGUAUUCCGGGGGGCAUGCCUGUCCGAGCGUCAUUGCUGCCCUCAAGCACGGCUUGUGUGUUGGGCCUCCGUCCUCCUCCCGGGGGACGGGCCCGAAAGGCAGCGGCGGCACCGCGUCCGGUCGUCGAGCGUAUGGGGCUUCGUCACCCGCUCUUGUAGGCCCGGCCGGCGCUUGCCGACACAUCAAUCUUUUUUCCAGGUUGACCUCGGAUCAGGUAGGGAUACCCGCUGAACUUAAGCAUAUCAAUAAGCGGAGGA